CCAUUUCUAUAAGUUCUUCAAAACAUAUCCCUUCAACAUAGAAAACGAUGUCUUUCACUCAAAUUCCGCGAAAGAGAGCAAGAAAGAAAAAAUCUCUGAAAGAGGCUGAUCAUAUACGACCUUGGUAAAUGUUUUUUUUUUCUUUUUGAUAAAUAUUUGUAAGUUUAUGUAAACGUUUAACUAAAAGAUGUUACUGCUUUUACCACAUAUUCUUAUAUCUGCAAUUUAGGUUUAGGCUGUUCAUAUACUUAUAAAAUAUGGACAUGUAUAUACUCAGAUUAUUGUUUGUUUUUUUGACAAAAGGUUUUAUACUUAGAUUAUUGUUUGAGUUAUGACAUGCAUCAUUAGUUUAUAUAGGGUUCAUUUCAAUUUUUAAAAUAAAAGUACUACAAAUUAAUGAAUAUAACUUCAUGCAAAGCAGAUAUUUAUAAAGCACCUCUAUUGAGGAGAUUUUCAACUUAUAAGUAUCUAUAUAUGUGGGUUUCUUAAUGUGAACAAUCUAUAUGUAUUUCUAGGGAUGGCUUCUGAAGUGUGAUAUCAGAAGUCAAUAAUAGAGAUUAUAACUAUAGAAGGAAUCUAAAUGUGCAAAGAGCUAAACUAUUACCCUAAAUCAUCAUAAUGCAACUGUAUAAUUUACAUAGACGCGUAUUUUUUAUUGAUACUAAUGCAAAAUUUGGUUUGAUUUGAUUUACUUUGCUUUAUUUUUAUAUUUUGGUAUCAGAUGAUUUUCAUGUCUAAAUAUUUUGGUGUGUUGAUUUUUCUUUCGCAGGUCGAUACCAAGUACUCUCCAUGGAAUAUUCAUUUGAGCAAGAUGUUGGCAUGAAAUUGCAGCGGUGAAGGACGAGCUGAAUCUAUAUCGAUACUACCUCGACCUCGAUCCUUCACGUUGUUAUUAAUUAAAUACAUAGUCACAGUCUCAUUGUCGACUAUAUAUUAAAUAAUACCGUGAAUGCAGAUUCAGGAAUAAAUUAAAAUAUUUAUUUAAUUCUAUUGGUUGUCUAAAAUAUUUAAUUUAAUUUGUAUACAUGCUGAUGUUAGGAGUUUUCAAGGCUCCUAAGACAAAUGUUGUAGUAUAGUGAUUGUCGAACCAGUUCUGAGGGAUAUCAAAGCACUGAGAAUGCAA
rnacentral:lncRNA from 1 species